rnacentral:rRNA from 1 species
CAGCAGCCACGGUAAUACGUAGGGUGCGAGCGUUAAUCGGAAUUACUGAGCGUAAAGCGUGCGCAGGCGGUUUUGUAAGACAGGCGUGAAAUCCCCGGGCUCAACCUGGGAAUGGCGCUUGUGACUGCAAAGCUAGAGUGCGGCAGAGGGGGAUGGAAUUCCGCGUGUAGCAGUGAAAUGCGUAGAUAUGCGGAGGAACACCGAUGGCGAAGGCAAUCCCCUGGGCCUGCACUGACGCUCAUGCACGAAAGCGUGGGGAGCAAACAGGAUUAGAUACCCCAGUUGUCCCUGUCUCUUAUAC